rnacentral:rRNA from 1 species
GACGAACGCUGGCGGCGUGCUUAACACAUGCAAGUCGAACGGCAAGGCCCUGCUUUUGUGGGGUUCUCGAGUGGCGAACGGGUGAGUAACACGUGAGUAACCUGCCCUUGACUUUGGGAUAACUUCAGGAAACUGGGGCUAAUACCGGAUAGGAUCUCCUGCUGCAUGGUGGGGGUUGGAAAGUUUCGGCGGUUGGGGAUGGAUUCGCGGCUUAUCAGCUUGUUGGUGGGGUAGUGGCUUACCAAGGCUUUGACGGGUAGCCGGCCUGGGAGGGUGACCGGCCACAUUGGGACUGCGGUACGGCCCAGACUGCUACGGGGGGCAGCAGUGGGGAAUAUUGCACAAUGGGCGGAAGCCUGAUGCAGCAACGCCGCGUGCGGGAUGACGGCCUUCGGGUUGUAAACCGCUUUCGCCUGUGACGAAGCGUGAGUGACGGUAAUGGGUAAAGAAGCACCGGCUAACUACGUG